CGGGUGAGUAACGCGUGGGUAACCUGCCUUAUACUGGGGGAUAACAGCCAGAAAUGACUGCUAAUACCGCAUAAGCGCACAGAACCGCAUGGUCCGGUGUGAAAAACUCCGGUGGUAUAAGAUGGACCCGCGUCGGAUUAGCUAGUUGGCAGGGCAGCGGCCUACCAAGGCGACGAUCCAUAGCCGGCCUGAGAGGGUGAACGGCCACAUUGGGACUGAGACACGGCCCAG
rnacentral:rRNA from 1 species